rnacentral:misc_RNA from 1 species
AUCGAUUCUCGUGUCCUCGGUUGUGUAUGAUGGUGGUGGGAUAUUCGUACGCAUACGUAAAAUGUGGGGUCGAGGAUAGCGAAUAGCGAAGAAUCGCGCAGCAGCAGCAUCAGCAACGACAACGACGAUUACGGGUCGACGUUAGAAGAACGGGGGGUAUAUAGUGCACGGGUAUAAAAAAGGUUUGCGGGGUGUGCGUAAGCUUAUUUUGAUAUUGCUAAUUCCAAUCAAACGGUGAAACAAUGUUUUUAUCGUCGAAUAAGUGAAAGAUCGUUGAAUAAGUGAAAAGUCGUUACGUUGAUCGCGUAACUGCUGCUGCUAAAUUUUACUUUGACACGUUUAGUGCGGAGCGUUCAAACGGUGGCUUUUACCGAGCCCCGUUCAAUUUUCGUCCAGCACCUUCCGACAAACAAAUAACAACGUCAUGGAUCGAAGAAAAAUGUCAACGGCAGGCGACUCGCUGUACCAAGCACUGGAAAUUCCAAAAACAGCCACUUCCGAAGAUAUAAAGAAGACUUACAGAAGAUUGGCAUUAAAGUAUCAUCCGGACAAAAAUCCCGACAACCCCGAAGCAGCUGAUAGGUUUAAAGAAAUAAAUCAUGCACAUUCGAUACUAAUGGAUAUAACUAAACGCAACAUUUAUGACAAUUAUGGAUCGCUUGGUUUGUACGUGGCUGAUCAUUUUGGAGAGGAAAAUGUCAAUGCUUACUUCGUUGUCACAUCAGGCUGGUGCAAGGCGAUCUUCGCGCUCUGUGCAUUCCUGACCGGUUGUUAUUGCUGCUGCUGUUGUUGCUGCUGCUGUAACGGAUGUUGCGGCAAAUUGAAGCAAAAUCGACCGGAGGACAACGGACUUUACCACAAUCUGCAGCGGGACCAGAAUCCUGAUGGCGAUGUUGUGACGAUACAACCGCGAGGUGGCAAUAAGGUUGUUUCUUCCUCAGAAAACGAGGAUGAGAGCGAGGAAGAGGCAGUGACUGCGCAACCCCAAGGUGGAGCUUCUCAAGGAGCCACCGGAGCCGCCGUAUUCGCCAUGCCUCCACCUCCGUCUUCGCAAAGUACAGUCCCGAACGAGGGCACCAACUUGACGAGUGGGGCAGAACGUCCCCUUUACGGCGAAGGUAAACCAAGACCGCGAUUAUAAAAAUCGCGAUAAACAAAAUCAAUUGUUGACUCCAUGCUCUCUCGGUCAAUCAGUCGAUCCAUAAAAAUGAUGAAACCAAACUUAUCAAUGGAGACACCCUUGAGAGAAGAUCCGAGAGAGAAGCGUCGACACGAUAAGCGAGGGCUUUGACGUUGCGAAGAAUCACACGAUAUUUACCGAAACAGUUUUACCUAAUCGUGUGAUCAACGCCAUUAUUCGAAUUAUUUAUAAACGAAAAGAGGCCACGAAAGAAUUCGUCUCAUAUUUUUGAAAAUCAUGUCUGCUAGGUAUUAUUUUUGUAAAUUUAUGUUAUUUUUUGCUAAGUUAUUCCUUCUUCGAGAUAAUAGUCGCUUGUAUUACAAUUCACGUUCACGAUCAAUGUAUACUAGACGAUGUAAAACGUGGAUGAAUAUCGACGAAAAAAUGUGCUUGCUGCGAAACGAA